rnacentral:lncRNA from 1 species
UCAACUUUCCGUUUGUCUCACAACCACCCACUAUUUCUCUGUGAGAUUUGGUUUGUGUCCUUGUUCUAUGGACUUAGUCUCAUCGGGUAGUGGAGGAACCAUUCCCCAUACAUCAAAUAAAAUCAAGGUUAAAGGUGUUCAGUACUCUAAUCCAGCUUACUCUCUUUGCAUGCGUCAAGAUCAAUUGAUAUUCUAUCCUAUCCCGGCCUUGCUUAUCGAGGCUGUUAUUCCUCUCAUUCCCUCCGCUGCCAUAAGCCACAAUGCCUGAACUUGUCUUGAUCGCAUCUUUGCCAAAGUUUCUCAAUUUUUCAUUAUCCAACUCGAACUUGCCUGAAAAUUCAAGUGAAAUUGUUUUCAUGAAGAUAAAGGUCACUUAACAAUUUAGCAAAGAUUUAAAUGAUUUUAUAGUUGAAAAC